rnacentral:rRNA from 1 species
GACGAACGCUGGCGGCGUGCUUAACACAUGCAAGUCGUACGGUAAGGCCCUUUCGGGGGUACACGAGUGGCGAACGGGUGAGUAACACGUGAGUAACCUGCCCACAACUUUGGGAUAACGCUAGGAAACUGGUGCUAAUACUGGAUAUGUGCCCCUGCUGCAUGGUGGGGGUUGGAAAGCUCCGGCGGUUGUGGAUGGACUCGCGGCCUAUCAGCUUGUUGGUGGGGUAGUGGCCUACCAAGGCGGCGACGGGUAGCCGGCCUGAGAGGGUGACCGGCCACAUUGGGACUGAGAUACGGCCCAGACUCCUACGGGAGGCAGCAGUGGGGAAUAUUGCACAAUGGGCGCAAGCCUGAUGCAGCAACGCCGCGUGCGGGAUGACGGCCUUCGGGUUGUAAACCGAUUUCAGCAGGGACGAAGCUUUUUGUGACGGUACCUGCAGAAGAAGCACCGGCUAACUACGUG